UACACACGCUAGGGGAGCCAUUGGCUGAGAUUGGUAGAAACCAAACCCUCACUACUUGAACCGGAUAAUGCCGGCGUAAGGAAGCAAUAGUAGUCCCCU
rnacentral:ncRNA from 2 species